GACGAACGCUGGCGGCGUGCCUAAUACAUGCAAGUCGAACGCAGUGGGGACGGGUGAGUAACACGUGGGUAACCUCCCAUCAGAGGGGAUAACCCUUGGAAACAGGUGCUAAACCGAUACUGAUGGAUGGACCCGCGGUGCAUUAGCUAGUUGGUGAGGUAACGGCUCACCAAGGCCACGAGGCAUAGCCGACCUGAGAGGGUGAUCGGCCACACGGGGACUGAGACACGGCCCAGACUCCUACGGGAGGCAGCAGUGGGGACUCUUCGGCAAUGGGCGAAAGUCUGACCGAGCAACGCCGCGUGAGUGAAGAAGGUCUUCAGAUCGUAAAGCUCUGUUGUUAGGGAAGCGUUAUCUAACCAGAAAGCCACGGCUAACUACGUGCCAGCAGCCGCGGUAAUUC
rnacentral:rRNA from 1 species